GCCCUUUCUUUGAUACUGACUGAACGCCAUAUAGUUUCAAGUUAAAGAAAGGUUGUCGUUGAAAAAUGCUUAAUUUAUCGUUAUCACGGAUGUUUUGGAUGAAUUACAUCGGUUGCUCGGGCUUCAUUCAUUUGCAUAAAAUGUCUGCGACUGAUGAGUACUGUUGCUAGGCGUUACAAAGAGAGAAGUUCCGGAAGAGCUGCCUACAAAAGAAAGAAACCCAGCAACUGGUACUCGCCGGUCCAAAAAACCAGCGAUCGGAGAGGACAGUUAAAAAGUUCUAGCGAAACAGAAAGAAUGGGUGACAAAACAAGUGAGCAAACUGACAAAGCCGCAACUUCAGGCAGCAAUUACGAGGGCAAUCGAAACGGAGCCAGUGCGUGUGCUGCUUGUUUUAGCAGCCCCGGGCAAUCAACCUGGAGAUGGUGCCCACGAGACCGAGAAAAGGAUUAAACUCCACGCUGGUAUGUGUGCGGCAACUGCCGGGACAUGCCAACACAAAGAGAAAGACACUAAUGUAACUAAACGUUAAGUAAAGUAGUUAUAGAUAAACAAUUUUAUUAAAUGUCAUGUGUCAUUAGAAAAUAAUUGUACAUUAUUUAAUACUGCUGGUCAGUUCUUGAGAUUUUUACUGAGAAAUGGAUACCUGAUAACUCAUUUUCUACUGAUUACUGCUAACGUAGUCUUGUGAAGUUUCAAAGAACAGCAUUCUGAGUAUCAUCAUAAGGCUUUAAAUAUCUUAACAUGCAUGUAGUCACACACAGAUAGAACAAAUUGAAUUGUUGGACGAUAUGAAAUAUGGGCAGUUUUCUUGUAUUAAACAGUUGUAAGAUAUUUUAAAUGCUGGCACAGUUUGUCUCUAAACCAAGUAAUUAAAAAUACCGAUACUAUUGUUAAGGUGAGCACUGAGUAUUGCUGAGUACUUGCUUGAAAAUUUGUACUGAAGUAAGAAUGAUAUAAAUUAGCUCAUCCCUGAAUAUUUCUUAUUUAAAAUCUUAGCCUAAGUAUCUUCGAUUAAUGCCAGUGGCUUAUGAUAUACCUUUCCUCUUAAAGGACUUUGACCUCCUUGUUUUGAACAAGGGGGUUCUAGCCCUAACCCGUUUGAUGAGGCGAGAUAUCCUCGUGUUUACUGAAGGGGAGGACCUGCGAUGAUCCAACCACCAUCAGACUCACAGAUAAUUUAUAUUGUUGACGCAUGGUUAUUUUGGGGCUGGUGAAUUCCCUCAUGUGGUGUAUGGAGAAUCCGGGAAACUUUCCCUGAUCCAAAUGGACAAAGCACAGGCUUUGUGACAGGUCGGGUUCACUCGAUGAACACAACUACUGCAUAAACUAUCAAGGAUCUCUAAUCAUUUUUAAAAUGUUAAAGUAAAAUGAUAUUAAAACAUAAUGACCAUGUCAAGUUUAUGUAUAUUAUUGUAUAUGACUUGUUUUCCAAAUACGAAUUUGAACUGUCCUUGAUUGCUAAAAUGUCAUUAACUGAUCAUCCUUAUUUCGAUUUUUAUGCCAGAAAUCCUGUCUUUUAUGUAUAUUCAUGUUAUUGUGAAUAUUUUCUUUUCUGCGCAAAAGCUGUUUUAAAUGAUGCUUAAGUGAUAUGUCCGUUUGCAUACAACUUGCACAUGUUUAAACUUUGCCUGAUACCUUUGUCAGCCUUGUUUAGAAACAAUCAAAUGGACUUAUGGCAGGCCUUUUUUUGAUACUGCCCAUUACUUAAGGCCAAAAAAAAACCCUGUGUUUCCGAAAACCCGACCGACCUUAUUUUUUUCCUCGCCGACCCUAUUUUUUUAAGCAUAAAGGUUAAAAUUUCAAAACUAUAUAUAUCGUCGUUAUGUUCGUUGUUUCUCUGGAUGGAUCCUAUGCGAUCGGAGAAUAAACUUUCAUUCCUAAUAUGUAUGACAGAGACGAUUUGUCAACAGCAAAACAAAAUGGCGGAGUCUGUGGAAUGUCCGCAUUUUUCGGGCAUAUAUGCUUAAGAUCUUUUCUCAACAGCAUUGCACUUUUAAGCGGAUGUCGGCGAACAUUUCACCCUGUCCGAUAUCUUAUAAUAGGCAAACGCUUGUUAUCGGUCCAGACGCGUUAUUUAUCACAGAAGACACAUUUUGCUGCCGUUACCUUGAAAUUUUUGGAUAUUGUUCGCGGUGUUAUUUAUCCAUGUCCGAAAUACACUAACUUCUUUCUAACGAUUAGGCUUUGCGUGUAUCAUGCAGGCUAACUGCCAGGUUUCAAUACACAUUUCAUUAAUCGUUACCAUAAUUUAUCCGCAAUUAUCAAGUUCUAUUUAUUUCGCCUAAUUAAAGUCCCAUCAACUGAAAUUCAAACAAACAACUGCAAAAGUUAACUUAUUAACACAUGUUUUGGAAUGAGUCGGCUGUAGAUCAAACAGUACAAUUUGUGACGCCUGAGCACGAGUGGUGAUUAGAUGAAAGGCGCGCGGAAAUGGUUUGUAUUUAAAUCGGUCAGUCGGAUACUGUUUUAUCCCAUUUUACUUCCAAGAGUUCGUCUAGACUGGUUAGAAAAUGCCAUUCGAUCGAAAAAGAAUAAUAAUCAAUAACCGAGACCUUUCAAGUCAUGACGGAAAUGUUUGAAUUCACUAUUAAUAUGAAUGAACCUUUGAUUGUACGAAAAUAAGAUACGUAAAAUAAAUCCAUAACCGCGUUACCUUGUUCGAUUAUAAACCUCGCUCACAGUUAAGAAGAAAAUCGGCGAUUUUCUUCAAGCAAAUUAACAAAAUAGGUUGAUAAUUGACUGUUUUGCUUGAACAUUAUCACAGUUUUGGAGUAAGUGAAGCGCUGGACUUGCUUUAAAAAUCGACCAAGUCUUAUAAACGAAUCUAUACAAAAACACCAGAUUCCAUGGGCAAAAUAGGCGAUGUAACACGGUAGUCAAAGGAAAAAAAAUGAUUUCAGACAUUAAACAAUCCUGUUUUACUGAUUUUUUGUAAAUUUUGAAACGCUUACAUAUAACAUAGUUAAUACGAUGCAGCAGAAUAAUGCAUGAUCCUGCAAUUUGAAAUCGAAAAUGAAAAUAAAUCCGACCGACCGACCUUAUUAUUUUUCGCCAUAUAACCGGAAAUAAAGGUAUUUAUUUGGCCUAAGUAUAAAAUAAAUUUAUGCAAUAAACAAUCUUUCCCAAAAAGAAAAACAGCAGGUAAAUAACUGUUAAAUAAAAUUUUAUUGAAAAAACCCAAACAUUUCCUUUAUGUUAAGAUUAUUUUCUUGUAACAACACCAUUUCAUGCAAGAGUCACAUAUAUAUUGCUGUUUUUAAGGAGCUAUAUUAUGUUUUGAAGACAUUGGAGUAUAAACUCUGAUCAUUUUCAAGUUAGGUAAUAAUCUACUCUAAAAACUCGUCAAUCAAUCGAACACAUAAUUAUGUAAAUAGAUUAAUUGAGCUCGAGUAACUGUUUACUAACUAAUACGAAACACUCUUGAUAACGAUAAAGUUCAUUUGUUUACGGCCAACUCUUCUAUAAAUGGAAUUUGUAUGGUUAACAUUUAAUAAAGAAGAAUGUCAUCUUGUCAAGUACUCUUCAUAACAAUAAAUAAACUAUGUAUCAUCGGUGACCUAUCUGUAACUUGAAACUAUAUGGCAUAUAUGCACUAUCAAAGUAAAAGCUUGAAUAACGUGAAAAAUGAUACUUCUAUCAAAAAAUUAUACAGAAUGAUCUGUUUGCUUCUCUCACUAUGCUUAUAUCAAUAAAACACGUUUGUCACAUGUAUGACGAUUAAAGCAUGAACCUUAUUAGUUAGACCCUAGUUCUCAUUAUUCAAAUAUGAGUAAAAUGAUAUAUUGGUAUUUAAUUUAAAUAACACUGAUAGUGACACAUCAAACCAUAACGGUACUUGACCAUAACAUUUUAGUUUAUGAUACAAAUACAUUUACAUAAAUAAAUUCUUUAAAUAUAUGAUAUUAAUAAUUGAUUGAUAAUUUAAUACUAUUCAAAUAAAGAGUAGAAACGGAGAGAAACGCAAUAGUUGUUUGCGCAAGCACGAUCAAGUUUGCUUAGAAAGUAUAGUGAUUAUUUAUUAUUUUUUACUGCAAUAAAGUUAUCUUCAUAAGGUCAUCCAUAUGAUACAAUUUGGUAUUGUUUUUCUGUUCUUUUAACCAACGGUGUAAAAUGUCAUCAAAACAAUAAAAAGGUUACUUAUCAAAAAGUCGUGACCGUCUGUGCAGAAGCUGAUUAAUGA